rnacentral:rRNA from 1 species
UCUGGUUGAUUCUGCCAGUAGUCAUAUGCUUGUCUCAAAGAUUAAGCCAUGCAUGUCUAAGUAUAAGCAAUUGUACGGUGAAACUGCGAAUGGCUCAUUAAAUCAGUUAUCGUUUAUUUGAUAGUACCUUACUACAUGGAUACCUGUGGUAAUUCUAGAGCUAAUACAUGCUGAAAACCUCGACUUCGGAAGGGGUGUAUUUAUUAGAUAAAAAACCAAUGCCCCUCGGGGCUCCUUGGUGAUUCAUAAUAACUUAACGAAUCGCAUGGCCUUGCGCCGGCGAUGGUUCAUUCAAAUUUCUGCCCUAUCAACUUUCGAUGGUAGGAUAGUGGCCUACCAUGGUGGCAACGGGUAACGGGGAAUUAGGGUUCGAUUCCGGAGAGGGAGCCUGAGAAACGGCUACCACAUCCAAGGAAGGCAGCAGGCGCGCAAAUUACCCAAUCCCGACACGGGGAGGUAGUGACAAUAAAUACUGAUACGGGGCUCUUUUGGGUCUCGUAAUUGGAAUGAGAACAAUUUAAAUCCCUUAACGAGGAACAAUUGGAGGGCAAGUCUGGUGCCAGCAGCCGCGGUAAUUCCAGCUCCAAUAGCGUAUAUUAAAGUUGUUGCAGUUAAAAAGCUCGUAGUUGAACCUUGGGUCUGGCUGGCCGGUCCGCCUCACCGCGAGUACUGGUCCGGCUGGACCUUUCCUUCUGGGGAGCCCCAUGGCCUUCACUGGCUGUGGGGGGAACCAGGACUUUUACUGUGAAAAAAUUAGAGUGUUCAAAGCAGGCCUUUGCUCGGAUACAUUAGCAUGGAAUAAUAGAAUAGGACGUGCGGUUCUAUUUUGUUGGUUUCUAGGACCGCCGUAAUGAUUAAUAGGGAUAGUCGGGGGCGUCAGUAUUCAGCUGUCAGAGGUGAAAUUCUUGGAUUUGCUGAAGACUAACUA